GACGGAGGGUGCUAGCGUUGUUCGGAAUCACUGGGCGUAAAGGGCGCGUAGGCGGCCUGGUAAGUAGGGGGUGAAAUCCUGCGGCUUAACCGCAGGGCUGCCUUCUAAACUGUCAGGCUUGAGCACGGUAGAGGCAGAUGGAAUUCCCGGUGUAGCGGUGGAAUGCGUAGAGAUCGGGAAGAACAGCAGUGGCGAAGGCGGUCUGCUGGGCCGUUGCUGACGCUGAGGCGCGAAAGCGUGGGGAGCAAACAGG
rnacentral:rRNA from 1 species